rnacentral:rRNA from 1 species
AAGCAGGGGAUCGCAAGACCUUGCGCUUUUGGAGUGGCCGAUGCCUGAUUAGCUAGUUGGUAGGGUAAUGGCUUACCAAGGCAACGAUCAGUAGUUGGUCUGAGAGGACGACCAGCCACACUGGGACUGAGACACGGCCCAGACUCCUACGGGAGGCAGCAGUGGGGAAUUUUGGACAAUGGGCGAAAGCCUGAUCCAGCAAUGCCGCGUGAGUGAAGAAGGCCUUCGGGUUGUAAAGCUCUUUCAGUCGGGAAGAAAAGGUUGGACUAAUAAUCACAAUUCAUGACGGUACCGACAGAAGAAGCACCGGCUAACUACGUGCCAGCAGCCGCGGUAAUACGUAGGGUGCGAGCGUUAAUCGGAAUUACUGGGCGUAAAGGGUGCGCAGGCGGCUUUGUAAGUCAGAUGUGAAAUCCCCGGGCUUAACCUGGGAAUUGCGUUUGAAACUACAAGACUAGAGU